GCCUGGGUGGCUCAGUGGGUUGAGUGUCCGACUUUGGCUCAGGUCACAAUCUCUAGGUUCGUGAGUUCGAGCCUCACAUCAGGCU
rnacentral:tRNA from 1 species